rnacentral:rRNA from 1 species
CCUCGCAAGAGGAGCGGCAGACGGGUGAGUAACGCGUGGGAAUCUACCGUACCCUACGGAAUAGCUCCGGGAAACUGGAAUUAAUACCGUAUACGCCCUUCGGGGGAAAGAUUUAUCGGGGUAUGAUGAGCCCGCGUUGGAUUAGCUAGUUGGUGGGGUAAAGGCCUACCAAGGCGACGAUCCAUAGCUGGUCUGAGAGGAUGAUCAGCCACAUUGGGACUGAGACACGGCCCAAACUCCUACGGGAGGCAGCAGUGGGGAAUAUUGGACAAUGGGCGCAAGCCUGAUCCAGCCAUGCCGCGUGAGUGAUGAAGGUCUUAGGAUUGUAAAGCUCUUUCACCGAUGAAGAUAAUGACGGUAGUCGGAGAAGAAGCCCCGGCUAACUUCGUGCCAGCAGCCGCGGUAAUACGAAGGGGGCUAGCGUUGUUCGGAAUUACUGGGCGUAAAGCGCACGUAGGCGGAUAAUUAAGUCAGGGGUGAAAUCCCGCAGCUCAACUGCGGAACUGCCUUUGAUACUGGUUAUCUUGAGUAUGGAAGAGGUAAGUGGAAUUGCGAGUGUAGAGGUGAAAUUCGUAGAUAUUCGCAGGAACACCAGUGGCGAA